rnacentral:snRNA from 1 species
AGCUUUGUGCAGUGGCAGUAUCGUAGCUAAUGAGGUUUAUCCAAGGUGUGAUUAUUGCUAAUUAAAUAUAGUA